rnacentral:ncRNA from 2 species
UCUUUAUCAACCGAAAUAGGUUUUACUUAACGUGAAUUAAUAGGGAAUCGUGUGAGAAUCACGAACUGUCGCGCAACUGUAAGUAACCCCAAAGGUUUUUACCCAUAGCAAAUCCACUGUUCUAAUUUUUAGAAUGGGAAGGAAGGUAAAAAUGUUACAAGUCAGGAGACCUGCCUAUUUCGAAUUGACAAC